rnacentral:ncRNA from 2 species
GUAAGGCACUCUGGAGAGACCUUUUCAUUAAGGCGCCGAAGGGGAAACGCGCUGUGCAGCGCCAACAGGCUGCUCAAAGCGCGCGACAACUCUCAGGCAAAAGGACAGAGGGCGACAA